ACGAUGAAGCUUCUAGCUUGCUAGAAGUGGAUUAGUGGCGCACGGGUGAGUAAGGUAUAGUUAAUCUGCCCUACACAAGAGGACAACAGUUGGAAACGACUGCUAAUACUCUAUACUCCUGCUUAACACAAGUUGAGUAGGGAAAGUUUUUCGGUGUAGGAUGAGACUAUAUAGUAUCAGCUAGUUGGUAAGGUAAUGGCUUACCAAGGCUAUGACGCUUAACUGGUCUGAGAGGAUGAUCAGUCACACUGGAACUGAGACACGGUCCAGACUCCUACGGGAGGCAGCAGUAGGGAAUAUUGCGCAAUGGGGGAAACCCUGACGCAGCAACGCCGCGUGGAGGAUGACACUUUUCGGAGCGUAAACUCCUUUUCUUAGGGAAGAAUUCUGACGGUACCUAAGGAAUAAGCACCGGCUAACUCCGUGCCAGCAGCCGCGGUAAUACGGAGGGUGCAAGCGUUACUCGGAAUCACUGGGCGUAAAGGGCGCGUAGGCGGAUUAUCAAGUCUCUUGUGAAAUCUAAUGGCUUAACCAUUAAACUGCUUGGGAAACUGAUAGUCUAGAGUGAGGGAGAGGCAGAUGGAAUUGGUGGUGUAGGGGUAAAAUCCGUAGAUAUCACCAAGAAUACCCAUUGCGAAAGCGAUCUGCUGGAACUCAACUGACGCUAAGCGCGAAAGCGUGGGGAGC
rnacentral:rRNA from 1 species